GCUGCUUUGGUCCAGUGCUCAUCUUGGCCAUUGGGCCAGUAUCACCUGAUACGACUUUGCAGAAGUGUUUGUGUGUGGUGUUGGGGGUAGGAUGGAAGAGGGAGAGGAAACUGUAGUGACAAAACAAGGGAAAUCUGCUAUAAUCAUUUAAUGGCUCCCCUUCUCUCCCUUCCAGAGUUUUAACUAAAUAGGGAAGCCAGGCAAAUAAGUAAGUAAGUAAAUAUUUUAAAAUUCACAUUAAGAGGGAAACCAAUAAGUAAAAUAAUGCCAGAUCAGUCAAAUAUUUUUCCUCCUUUCCACCUGUGCUAGUGGUCUGAAUUAAUAAUAGAGGCAUACGGCCGAAUAAUCAGAAUUAUUCAUCAAGCUAAUUAACCACAUAUAGUUUUCUAAGUAGCCACAAAAUGGUGGAAAUCUUUAUUCAUACAUAUAUAGUGAGAUUUACAAAUGUAUUGUGGUUGUUACAGUGAUUAUCAUUUUUUAUCUUUGUAGGCACAACUUCUUGAAUUGAUAUAUAUUCCCAUCAGGUGCUUCAGAGAAGCUCUGACCUUUUUCUCGACAGGCAAAAAUGUGCAUUUUGGCACCAGAUUAUCGGAUGGAAAAAUACAGGCAUUUUCCAAGCCCUAAGCACAGAGUGUGCCAUCUAUUAGUUUGGAUUUCUUCCUUAACUAUCAUCAUACUAAUAUGUGGUGGUUUUUCCAAGAAGAAAUGCAUCCAAAUCUAUCUUUGGGCUCAGAAUCCCGGAAGCCUGGGUUUUAUCACUGGCUGGUCACAGAUGCACUGAAAAUGGAUUCUGAUUUUGGGGAAUCCAAACUGAGAUGGGCAUAUUUUGCUACCUGAAAUGGCCUGGACCUAUAUUUGCUCUUAAGCAGAGCAAGAAUUUGGAGUACAGAAUUUCUGGCAGCUGCUGCCGCCACCUAGAAAUUGUUAUUGAACAACAUGAAGCAAUAUGGCAAGGCUGAAACUGGCUUGUUUUCUCUGAAGACUUAAAGAAAUUUGGAGGCAUCAAUCUUCACAUUCCUCAUGGUGGAAGGCUUAAAGAGCAAGCCACAUCUGAGCUGGCCUUGAAAACUCUGGCUUGUAUCUUAAAGGACUGCUUCAAGGGGAGGAUUUUGAAAAGUACGUUGGGGACUUGUAAGUUCCUCCCCCAAGCAAAGUCAGCAGGAGGCAUGUUGACGAUGGCUGUUUGCUCUCAACACGCGGAGAGUUUGCAGAAAACUGGAGGUCAGACCCCUGCCUCUUCUUGGGCUCCGGAGGCCUCGUGCGGCCAGGACAGAUGCAGCGGGCCUAGCGACUAUUGCAAGCCCGCAUCGGACCGGGCAGAGCUAGGGGAACACAGCCUUGCUCCCUGCCGCUUCGGCCGGUGACGCGUGGGUGAGAAGCCCCGUGUGCAGUGCGGAUGGCGCAGGGUCUGCGCUGAAGACGCACGGAGCAGGCUCCUUGAAUGCGAUGCCCACUGAGGCGGCGCAGGACCCACCGCCGCAUCAACUGCUGAUCUAUUUCAGUGGUGGCGUUUCCGCAGGAAUGGGAAAUUAUUUAUUCUCAGAUCCUUAGCUGGUUUCCUUUUACAUAACUUCUGCGUCUUUCAAUUAUGUUCACUUUGGGGGAGCCCUAGGGCUCUCCUAAACCAUACAGGUGUGGAAUUUUAAUAAAACACGAUUUAUUAAAAUCCGAGCUCACAAAAUUGGUAAAUUAUGGAGAUGGAUUAUUUUUACCGAAAAAGGAUUUUGUGAUCAAAUUCAGGUUCCCUUUUGUUAAUCCCUAAUUCUCCUAGUGCGUAUAAUAACAUCACAUUGUGGAUUUCUUCAGAAGUAAUCCAUGUGCCCAGCUACAGUACAUCAUGGCAGGUAAAACCCUGUUAUUUGACUUCAACAGGACCUAGAUUUGAGACCAGGCUCUGACACUUACUUGCUGUGCGUUUGAAUAAAUUUAUUAUCCUGUCAAAAAUACAAAUUAAAAUUGUUGCAAGUGUUAAAUGAGAUAGCAUAGCUCAAACACUUAGCAUACAGUAAGAGCUCCCUAUUUUAGUGAGCAAUUCUUUGUCUUCUUAUCAGAGUAUUCAUAAAGGUCGGUUGACCCACAUCUGGUUUAAAUGCAACUUUUUUUGUAUCUUUUGUGUAAGAGUUAGAUCUACCUUUGUUGCUGUGACUUACUUCUGUGACCAUUCUGCCAGUUUCCUGUCCUGCCCAGUGGUUUGGGUUCUAUGGCCUUGGAUUUCCCCAAAGGCCAAAGUCCUCCCAUCACAGAAGUGGGUGGAAAAAGAGCUACUCCCAUAUCAUACUGCCUGUAGGCUGAGAGUCUGCAUAAUUAGAUGGGUUUCUCUCUAAAAUAAUGCUUCUCAAAGCAUAGCCAAUGAACCCCUUUAUCAUAAUAUUAGGAGUGUUUAUUAAAUUGCAGAUUCCUAGGGUCCUACCUCACAGCUUUUGAAAUAGAAUCUUUUGUGGAGGUUCUAGGGUAAGAAUCUUCAUUGUAAUAAGCACCCAGCUUAUUCUGAUGCUAACCAAAUAAAAUUGUAGAACUGCUCCAGUGCAGUCCUCAAGUUUGCCUGAUUAUGGAAUGGCCUAGGGAUAUUUAAUAAAAAUAGAGGUUCCUGGGCCCCACCCCACAAUUUCUAGGAAGGAGCCUGAGGAUGUGUAUUUUUAAAAUAUUUUUUAAUGCUUAUUUAUUUUUGAGAGACAGAGAGAGAGACAGAGAGAGCUCAGGUAGGGGAGGGGCAGAGAGAGAGGGAGACACAGAAUCCUAAGUGGGCUCCAGGCUCCGAGCUGUCAGCACAGAGCCAGAUACCGGGCUCGAACCCACAAACCUUGAGAUUAUGACCUAAGCAAGGUCCGACGCUUAACCAACUGAGCCACCCAGGUGCCCAGAGGAUAUUUUUUAAUAAGUGCCCUCAGGUGAUUCUGAUGAUCUGGCAAAUGCAGGAAAUGCUGCUCUAGAAUGACUGGCCAGUGGCACCUUUGGUGGUAGUGGUGGUAGCAGGAAAGGGAUGGGAGCAGUGAUCAGGGACGGGAUGAUGGUUUGAAUGAUCCAGAGAGUGACUUAGGUCAAGAGCUGAGCCCCCGCUGUAAGGGUUCAUCUUUGCUUUUUACUUUUUUUUUUUUUAAUGUUUAUUCAUUCUUGAGAGAGAGACAGAGUGUAAGUGGGGGAGGGGCAGAGAGAGCGGGAGACACAGAACCCAAAGCAGGAUCCAGUCUCCGAGCCGUCAGCACAGAGCCCAAUGUGGGGCUUGAACUCACAAACUGUGAGAUCAUGACCUGAGCUGAGGUCGGACGCCCAAUCGACUGAGCCACCCAGGCGCCCCAAGAGCUGAACUCUUAACCAGUAACUGAGCCACCCAGGCGCCCCUCCACAUCACCUUUGCCUUUCAGCAUCUCCCCCUGUGUGCCAGUCUGUGUCCAGCCGCUCCCACAGUGUUUCAGAAAGCAAAACCGAGUCACUUUGGGGAGAUGAAGCAAAUGCAAAAGUGAAUAGUGAAGCUCCUGGGCAGGAACCAGCAAUCUCAGAUGAACAACUGUGGGGCUGUGAGUAAAUGGAAAGAACAGCUGCUUAUCAUAACAGCCAUCCCUGGUUCUCUCUUACAGCCUGGCUGAAGUUCCCAUUGUCACCUUUUUCAGGAAUUGCCUCCUUUCCUUAAGACAGUCUGACUAGGUUUGUAACUCAAAUGGCUUUCAUCAAAACAACACCCUGCACCAGGUGCUGGCCAUUCAGUGACCUGUGACUGAGCUGUGCCUUACCUACUGUCUUUCUGGACCUCUGUGCCAGCCUCUGCAGCCAGAUUAGUUCUUUCAGAGCUUGCACUGGGUCCUGGCUUCUCCUCAGCAACAGCAGUCCAGGGAUGACAGGUGCCAUGCUUUCUGCACAAGUCUUCAUCUGCGGAAACAAGAGGGCUUAUUGUCCGUCCUUCCUGACAUUUCUCACUGCCACUCUGCACUAGACUCCAUUCACGUUCACUACCUGGAAAUCCUGGAUCAGGGGAUAAGCAUCCCUUACCCCAUUUUCAGGUAAAAUCACACCAGUUUUCCUUGGGAGAUGAACUCUCCAUCACUGAAUGAAUACUUGAUGACCUACCCUACUGAAUUAAAGGUGUGGAAAGUAACAUGAGCCAGACCAGUUUUACAGAUGGAAACACUGAAUCUCCAAGAGGCGGUGAAAGCGGCCCACAGUCCCACCUUAGGAGGCUAGAAGGAGACACACACCUGCCUGCCCCCGGAAUGGACACUCUCCGUCGCACCCAGACACUGCCUCCACCGACGUGGAACACAUACAGGACCCCAAUAGUUUCGGUUACAUAUAAAGCAGGUUAUAAAAACGUCAUUUAGUGCCCUGUAAUAUGCAUUCUAUAGCCUUGUGAUGGGGAAUGAAUGUGCAGAGCCAAGGAAGUCGUGUACAUUUUGAAAUGAUCUUCCUGGGAAGAAGCACACCGUUUGUCAAUAUCAAAUCUUAUCUCGUUUGAAGUUCCCAGACUCUCUGGAGCUCUAAUAAGAAGUAGCUUGUUAAUCUUUGAAAUACAAAUGCUGAUCAGCAGACAGAGUUUUUUGUUGUUGUUUUUUUUUCCCUCUUCUGUCGUUUAGGGCCUCUGUGGGAGGGAAGAUAAUGUUAACAUAUGCAUGCUUACUCUCUUACAGAAAACCAUCUCUUUAUUUACCUGAGCUUCUCCUCAUGUCCCUGGACAAGUAAUUAAACCAAAUCAUUGACCUCUUCUGGAGCA